rnacentral:rRNA from 1 species
UACCAGCACCCGAGUGGUCGGGACGUUUAUUGGGCCUAAAGCAUCCGUAGCCGGUUCUACAAGUCUUCCGUUAAAUCCAACUGCUUAACAGGUGGGCUGCGGAAGAUACUAUAGAGCUAGGAGGCGGGAGAGGCAAGCGGUACUCGAUGGGUAGGGGUAAAAUCCGUUGAUCCAUUGAAGACCACCAGUGGCGAAGGCGGCUUGCCAGAACGCGCUCGACGGUGAGGGAUGAAAGCUGGGGGAGCAAACCGG